UACGUAGGGGGCUAGCGUUGUCCGGAUUUAUUGGGCGUAAAGAGCGUGUAGGCGGCCAGGUAGGUCUGCUGUGAAAACUCGAGGCUUAACCUCGAGAUGUCGGUGGAAACCAUCUGGCUAGAGUCCGGAAGAGGAGAGUGGAAUUCCUGGUGUAGCGGUGAAAUGCGCAGAUAUCAGGAAGAACACCCGUGGCGAAGGCGGCUCUCUGGGACGGUACUGACGCUGAGACGCGAAAGCGUGGGGAGCGAACAGGAUA
rnacentral:rRNA from 1 species